AAUGAACGCUGGCGGCAUGCCUAACACAUGCAAGUCGAACGGUAACAGGUGUUCGGAUGCUGACGAGUGGCGAACGGGGGAGGAAUACAUCGGAACGUGCCCGAUAGCGGUGGAUAAGGGAGCGAAAGCUUUGCUAAUACCUCAUACGAUCUAAUGUUGAGAGCAGGGGAGCGCAAGGGCUUGAGCGGGUGGAGCGGCCGCUGUCAGAUUGGGUAGCUGGUGGGGUACAAGCUUACCAAGCCGACGAUGUGUAGCUGGCCUGAGAGGACGACCCGCCACACUGGAACUGAGACACGGUCCAGACUCCUACGGGAGGCAGCAGUGGGGAAUUUUGGGCAAUGGGCGAAAGCCUGAUCCAGCCACGCCGCGUGCAUGAUGAAGGCCUUCGGGUCGUAAACUGCUGUUAUUCGGGACGAACAUACGCGUACUUAACAGGGGAGAUCAUGACGGUACCGGAUGAAAAAGCCCCGGCUAACUACGUG
rnacentral:rRNA from 1 species